rnacentral:rRNA from 1 species
AGAAUCAACGCUGGCGGCGUGCCUAACACAUGCAGGUCGAACGAGAAAGUGGAGCAAUCCAUGAGUAAAGUGGCGCACGGGUGAGUAACACGUGAAUGAUCUACCUCCGAGUGGGGAAUAACUGAGAGAAAUCUUAGCUAAUACCGCAUAACACUUACGAGUCAAAGCAGCAAUGCGCUUGGAGAGGAGUUCGCGGCAGAUUAGUUAGUUGGCGGGGUAAUGGCCCACCAAGACGAUGAUCUGUA